CAUCAGUAUAACAAGUGAUGUUCACAGAGUGCUUCAUCAUGCAGGACAGGUUGAAGAACUUUACAAGAAUUAGCUGAUCUUCUACAACAACCCUGAGACAGAUACCACUCUUAUCUCUACUUUACAGAUGAGGACAUCUGCCCAAGGGAAAUUAAAUAACAUCUAAAGCUGCACGGGUAACUAGGUGUAGUCAGGUUUAGACCAUUGGUGUUAUGGAGCUGCAUGAUGUAGCUACUCCCAACUGCCUCUUUUGUGUGGCAUUUCUUACACAUUGCACUGUCUGGUUACUCCUCUGUUUUCUUCACAGCUGCAUCCUAGCAUGAAGUGCAAAUCCCAGCAAAAAUUAAGCUCAAUUAAUACUUUUUGUGGAAUGAAUGCCUGAAUUUUAGUUAGAGAUAUUUUAUGUCUUACAAAUUCUAAUAAUACAUUCCUGAUUCUUGAUUUAGUGAGAUCAAGUCUGAGAAAAAAAGGAUGGCCAAUUAAUUAGUGUAUUAUCUUUUGCUCCUUAAUGAUUUUUGUAUUAAUUAAUCUGAUUCAAUAUGAACAAUUUGAGCUGAAAAGAAAGUGUUGUCUAUCCAAAUCCCCACAUUUUAUAUAGUUGGAGAUUGGGGUCAGAGUAUUUAAGUGACUUAUCCAAGGUCAUACAUGAAGCCAGUGACAAACAGCAUGCCAAAAUGGCUGAUUUCCAGUCCUGUGCCCUUUAGAGAAGGACACUUGGUAUCCUGGUCAAACAGAAACUACAGUCACAUGAGGGCAUGCAGUUAAAACAAACACCAAGUCUGCAGCUGGUUUGAUUAUGAAUCUAAACAGCAUGAAGGGGCUCGUGGCUUAGGUGUUCCCUCGGACUGCAAUCAGCCUAGAGUAAACACAGGCGUCUCAUGGAGAGGCAUGUUUGGCCCAGAAAGGUCCAGACUCUGAGAAGCCUUUAAGAGUAUUUUGUAUACAGCUUGGCCUUUAUUGUUGUGUGACCUUGGGUGCAUUGCUUUCCUUCUCUGGCAUCUGGUCUCCUCCUUUAUAGUAUGACAGAGUAUUAUGGACUUAAUGUUUGUGCCCCCCCCCCCCCCAAGUUCAUAUGUUGAAGCUCUAACCCUGAAAGUGAUGGUAUUUGGAGGUGGGCCCUUUGGGAGGUAGUUGGGUUUAGAUGAGGUCAUGAAGAUGAGGCCCCGUGAUGAUUAAUGUCCUUAUAAGAGAAGGAAAUGAGACUAGAGCUCUCCCUCUCUCCACCAUGUCAGGACACAGUGAGAAGGCAGCCAUCUGUAAGCCAGGAAGAGAGCUGUCACCAGGGACUGAAUCCAGCGCAUUGAUUUUGGACUUCUAACCUUCAGAACUGUGAGAAAUAAAUGUCAUUUAAGCCAUCAGUCUAUGGUACUUUGUUAUAGCAGCCUGAGCUGAUUAAGACACAGGGUUUUAUGAGCUUGAUCUUGAAGGCUCGUUUUGACUCUACAAUUCUAACAUUCUUUUCCAAAGUCCCCUCUGUUAUUGGCUGUGUUCAUUUCUGCCACUCUGCUGUCACUCAAGCCAUUCCUCCUCACUGCUAUGUUUUCUGCAACUCCUCACCAUUAAUCAAGAUCUUCUGCGAACUUAGAGGUUGAGCACACAUUUCAGCUCACAGGUGUGAAGAAAAAGCAGGGUCAAAUCCAAAUAUUUCUCUUUACUUUCAUGCGACCUUGAACAGUUACUUAACUUCUCUAUGCCUCCAUCUGCAAAGUGGAGUUAAUAAUACUUACAGGAUAAGAGUUGUGAUGAUUAAAUGGAAUUAAACAUGUAAAGCACCCACAUAGACCGGAGUUUGGCCCAUUUUUCUGCAAAAGAUCAGAUAGUAAAUAAUUUAGGCUUGCAGGGCAUGUGGUCUCUCAGCUUUGGCUUUGUAGGGCAAAAAGGACCACAGACAAUAUGCAAACAAAUGAGUGUGGCUGUGUUCCAAUAAAACUUUAUUUAUAAAAACAGGUGGCAGGCUGGAUUUGCACCCCGCCACCUGCAGCACUGGGCUUUGCUAUUCCAGGUAGCAGAUUAGGAUUCUCAUUGCUUUUUUAAAUUUAAACACACUUUAAGCUGUUUUAUGUUAUCCUUGGCUCUCCAUGGGGCCGCUCUUUUCCUCCCUGACUCACCCUUCCUUUCCCAGAUAAAGGGUAAGGAAUAAUGCCAUAAACAUUUGUUGAAAUGAAAUGAAGAAGAGUCUCCCCUUGCUCCAGGCCUAGGGUCCAGCUUCUGAGGGCCUCCAAAUGCAGUGUGGGCCUGGUGCCAGAAGGGAAGAAAGACUUUCUCAGGAUUGAGGGUGCCUGCAGACUGGGCAGGGCUCUGCUUUAUAAAGAGAUGCUGUGCUUUGACACUAGUGAAAAGCCCCAGCUGGCACACUGGGGACGUGGCCAGCGGCAGGAGCUGCUGUGUGGGUCCACUGCAGAGGUUUCCUCAUCCUGCUAGCCACACUGCAGGCUCCGCUGAUAGGGGAACCAUUGUUCCUUGUCCGUUGUGUGGAGUGCAGGGUGUUUGGGGGUACGGGGAGUGUUGGGAGCAGCCACUCAUUUCACAGAGCUCAGCUCAAUGAAAACAGAAAGAUAAAGGGCCAGGAGAGGAGGAAGAAAGUGCCAGCCAUGCUAAUGUUCCAGCUUGGAAAUUGAAGUGACCUGCCAGGCCAGCAUUUUCAGAGCAAAGAUGACAUUUGCUGCAAGUCACUCUGGGCUUGGAAUGGGCACUGGGCUUUUAGAUGUUGCUAAUUGGAAUGCGCAGAGAUUCAGUAACCCAUCUGGCAGUUAUUCUGUUAAUCUCUGUAUCCUGGCCAGAGGCCAGGCAGGAACAAAAUCGGGUUCUCUUCUCUUAAUCCCCAGUGCAGUUUCAGCUGGGCUCGGCAGCCCCAGUCCUGCCGGAUUUGUCAGUGCUAAUCUGCUUCUCUCAAUGGCUCAGGGAAGCCCCUAGAAAUGCCACUAGCUGCCCCCGGGCCCCUUGACAUGGCCAGACACGAGGAGGGGCCAGGGAUGAGUGUGGGGUGAUGCAAGACCCAGGCUUUCAGAGUCGUUUGGGCUUGGGUUGAAUUCUGGCUCUACAUGGGCAAGGUAAAGACCCUUGUCCUCCUUCAGUUGAGAGACAGUCUCUGGGGGCCGACUUACUGGAUUCACAUUUCAACUUUAUUAUUCACCAGCUCUGAGAUUUGGGGAUGUUACUUAAUGUUCUGUGCCUGAUUUCCUCAUGUGUAAAAUGAGAACAAUAUUGUGCCUCCGCAAAGUGUUAUGAGCGUCAAAUGAGUAAAUGAGUACACACACACAUACACACACACAACCAAAUUAGAAGAGACCCUCACCCAUGGUGCUCAUUCAUAUGGUUUUAUGACUUUGGUUAUUAUUUCCCUACCUAUAAAUGGGCGUAAUGACAGCCACUUCUUAGGGUUGUUGUAAGGAUGAGAUGAAAACAUGAAAGUACGGUCCCUGUCUCUGGGCUUGGUGCAUAGUAGGUCCCCAGUGAAUGUUGGUAACACUGUGGGUCCUUUCACUGCAGACUUGUUGCAUAGCAUGAGGCUAAUUGUCAAGAGUCCUGGAUUAUAGACCUGGCUCUGCUACCCAUUAGCCAUGUUCAGGCCCAUUACUGCCCCUCUCUGGCCUCAGAUGUCUUUACUCUAUUAGGAGGUUAGACUGGAUUCAUUCUUCCUGCUCUAAUAUUUCCUGCUUCCCAGAAGGUCAGAACCAUAGAUGACUGCCUCGUAGAGAUUUGCCUUUCACACUAGCCCAACUUUAGAUGUUCGAGGUCAUAGGCAGGAUGUUAUCCUGUGUGUACACUGGUGAAACAAGACAAGGCAGAGGCCCCCUGUACAAUCACUAAACUUUCUUCCAAAGAAGGAGAAUGAGGCUUCCUCGACCCUUUAUGGCCCCUGGACUCAGCAUCAUCACUAUCAUCAUCAUAAUAGUAGUAAAUAUUUAUUAAAUGCUUUACAUGUAUUAAUUUAUUUGACUCUCACAAGAACUUCAUGAGGCAGACACCAUUCUUAUUCCCAUGUUGCAGAUGAAGAAACAGGACACAGUGAAGGUAACCUGGCUUGGGUCACACAGCUGCUAAGUGGAAAUGGGCUUUGUUCACAAUGGUUAGAGUUCCAAAGCUACCUCUUAGUCAUGCGACUUACCUGGCAAACCAUGUAAACUAUCAGGCUGCAGGCUGCAGGACAUCCAGUGGAGAAGUGGGGCAAGCAUCCAGAGAGUCCAGAGGGCAGGCAUGCUACGUGCAUCUAGGUCCCAUCCCACACCUGCUGGAGAUCAUGGACAGAUGGCACAUUCUCUCUGGGAUCACAGCUGCUCCAUCCUGGUUGAGGCAUGGCAGGGUCAAGUGAGAACCUUGCCUUCAGCCAGGCCCGGGGGAGGAAGAAGAGGGACACACCAUUGAAAAGGCACACCUGAUUGUCACCGGUCUCCUUGCUGGCCUUUUCAUGCAGUUGAUGACGUAUGUUGUCGGGGCACAGGAUGAUGGAGGAAGAGGGGCCGUGAGACGUGAGAGAGCCAUGAGGCAGAUUCUCCCCUGGAGCCUCCAGAAAGGAGUAUAGCCCUGCUGCCAUCUUGGUUUUAGCCCAGUGAAGCCUGUGUUGGACUUCUGACCUACAAUACGUAAGAGAAUAAAUUUUUGCUGUUUAAAACCACUAAGUUUGUAGUAACUUGUCACAGCAACAAUAGUAAACUAAUAUACUUGGCAUUACACAGGGGUAGAAGGUAGGAAACUGGUCAGAGAGCUUGAGCUGGGGGAGUGGAGUAUAUAAAGGUGAAUCAGUAUGGGGGCCCUGUCCAAACACAGGAGAAGAGUUAAAUUGGGCAAAAUGGUAAUGAAUAUUUGCUAAAACAGAAGGAAAGUAAAAAUUCUACUAUGAGGGCCCAUUUGGGAAAGUGGAAGAGCCUGGGUUUUGGAAACAAGUGAUCUGGCUUUAAAAUCUGACUCCAUUGCUUCAGCUCUGUGACCUGGGCAAGUUAGUUAAUCUCUCUGAGUCUUAGAUCCCUCAUCCAUAAAAUACCACACAGAGGCCACCAGAUUAAGAUGCCCAUCAUCCCAUUGAUUAUCUCUAAGUUCAGAUAUUAGCUAACUACACAAUCUUUCUGAGUAUUCAUAACCAAAGAGAAGUGCCCAGUGCUAGGAGUACUAUUAAUGGUAACUAAUAUCAUCUCCAAAAGGUAGGUAUCGCCAAGCCUACUACAGUUUUGUUUCUCUGAACUAAGCCAUUGAACACUCUUUAGAAAGAAAUCAUACAAUUAGUGUUAAUGCAGAGCCAUAUAGUAAAAAUUUCAACGUCAGGGAGUGGAAUUUUCAUAGGAACAUAUGCUUGAAACAAGAAUCAGGAUCAGGCCUAAGGAUUGAGAUAUUCUUCGCAGAAAUAUUUUUAGAUACCCCUCUAUCCCUUAUGAAUUUCAAAUUUACUCCUCAAUCAACCAACCAAAUCCCAAAUUAUAUUUUUUUUAAUUUUUACUUUAUGCCCCUUAACAAUCUUGAUGUAUAAGAAUGGAUGCUUCAAAGUCAAUAUUCCCAGCCCAGAACUCAUUAUCUGUCCACCGCUGCCUCCAAAACUGCUCAUCUGUUCUUUUAAUUUCAGUGAGUGGCAUUAUCUUUUGUCCAAUAACCUACUGGAGACCUGGGAGUCACCAAUUUCUGUUGAGACCACCUCCUUAGCAAUCUUUCUACUUAGCCUCUCCUCUUUGUCACUGUGUCUUCAUCAUUUUUCACCUAGAAGAAGAAAUGGUGCUGUAGUUUCUCUUCCUGCCCUAAAUCUUGUCUCCAUCCCUGCUCUAAUCUAGUAUCAACCCACAUUCAAGCAUGACCUUUCUAAAUUAAUGGUUUGAUCAUAUUAUUUUCCUGUUUAAAAUCUUUCAAUGGCUCUUUGCUGACUAUGGGUGUUGUGGAUUGGAUUGUGUCUCUCCCAAACUUAUAUGCUGAAUCUCUAACCCCCAAUGUGACUAUAUUUGGAGAUAGAGAUAUUAGGGGGUAAUUAAGAUUAAAUGAGGUCAUAAGGGUGGUGCCCUGGUCCGAUAGGAUUGGUGGCUUUAUGAGGAGAGACACUAGAGAGCUUUCUCUCUCUGCCGUGUAAGAAUACAGCGAGAAGAUGGCUGUCUGCAAGCCAGGAACUGACCCUGCUCGACCUUGAUUUGGGAUUUAUGGCCUCCAGACCUGUGAGAAAAUAAAUUUCUGUCAUUUAAGCCACCCAGUCUGUGAUAUUUUGUUAUAACAGUCUGAAGAGACUAAUACAAUGAGAUAAAGUCUGAACACAUCAGAAUAGUAUGGAAGGCCUUUUCCUUCUAGUUCCCAUCUGCCUGACAGGUCAUGCACAGAACUUUUCCUUACAUACUCUUAAUGGAGGUUCCUGAUCCACCAUGCUCUUUGGGGCACAUGUCCUUCCCUCUGUUGGGAAUAGCCUGUUUUUUUCUCUUUCAUCCUUCAUUGUUCCCUUUAGCAAAUGCAGUUAAAAUUCCAUUUUGUGUUCUUCUAGUACUUGAGACAAGCCUGUCUCACCACAGUAAAAUGUGUUAUAAUUAUUCCUUAUCCUAUCUACUUCCCCCAAAUGACAAAUUGAGGGAGAGGGGGAGGGGUAUUCUGUCUUAAACAUCUUUGUAAUGUCCAUGGAACACAGCACAGAUCCUGGCACCUUGUAGAUUUUUCAAAAAUGUAUGUUGAAUGGAUGAAUUAACAAAUGAAUUACACAUGAAGCGAGGCCUCCCAUGCUCUUAGGAUAAAUACCAAGGUCCCUCACAUGGCCUGCAUACCUUUCCAGCCUCGUUUAAUUCCAUCUCUGCUAGGUACCAGCCACAGGAGCUGCCUGUCGUUCCACACUGCCUCCUGUCUCAACUCCUUUGUGCAUUUGCUCCCCUCUGCCUGGAAUGUGCCCCCUGCUUUAACCAAUCAUGAAACCAGUGAGCAACUACUUAUCCUUCAACUUGUAGCUAAAUGGCUCCCUAGGGAAUGUUUUCUUGACAUCUUGUCCCCCAAACACAAUUGCUUUCAUUGACCUUUGUUCACAAAGCACCUUACUGUUUUCUUCCUAAUACUUAAUCCAGUGUGCUAUGCCAUGCUUGUUUGAUUAUAGAGUUGAAGUGGGGCCUCCUGAGAGGAGGGAGGUCUCGUCUGCUUGUUCGUGUAUUUUGUUUUCAGCUCUCUCUCCCCAGGACACAGAACAGUGCCGAGCACAGAGCAGACACUCAUAGUAAUACCAUGAGGUGGUAGAUAACUGAGUGCUAAGUAAAUUGCAAAGAUACGAAUCAGACUCUACUUUUUGUUAUUUUUUCUCUAUAUCAUUUCAUUCACUUGAAAUUAUCUUAGAUUAGAACAAAUCAGAUCUUAUAUCUCCGUGGCUUCACCUUUGCAAUCCCUUGGUUUCUGUCCACACUUGAACAAAGGCUAGAGUAUUCAGGCUGCAGAGGAGCAGGUUUUAAGGUGAAGGCUGUCCAUGUGGACCCAAAGCCCCGCAGGACCAAUAGAUGAGGGGGCCUAAGGGGCUCCACUAUCAGGAAGACUUUUGGAGGAGCUAGAACCCAUGCCUUGCCUUGAAGUGUGGGCAGAGUUGGACUGUAGAGAAGGGAAGUAUGAGAGAAGAGCAAUUUUGCAGCCCUGGUAGAUUUUGAACCCACCAUAGCCUGGUGGAUAGCAGUUUUAGUUCUGGAAUCUGACUUCUCAGGUUCAAAUCCUGGCUCCAUUGGCAGUGACCCCAGGCAACCUUAUUAGCUUCUCUGUGCCUCCGUUGUCUUAUCUGCUGAAACAGAGGUUAGGAAUAGUCCCUGCCUGAUAGGAUUGUUAAGAGGAUUCAAUGGGUUAAAUAAUGUAAUGGGUCUAGAACAGCGCCUGGCACAUGGGAUGCUUCCAGGAAACGUUAUUCUAUUCUAGUGUUAGCCACACUUGGUGUUUUUAAUACAUGUAGUGAAACAUUCAUUACUAUAUUACUCCUGACCUCCUCCCUUGGAUGAGUGGAGUAACUCAUGGGAGAGGUUUGAGGGAGAAACUGGCCUUAUGUAGAAGCAUCUCUUCCUCUUAGGGGCCAUCUAGGGGAUGUGUGUUCAACUCAGCUCCUCCAGAAUCAGAUUUGCCCUGGCUCAGAGCUGCGUGGCUGGUGGAUAAUUCUGACCAAUUCUGGGAUUCAGUGUUAGAAGGUCCAAUUGCCUGUGGAUAUAAGCAAAUUCUCUAAUAUCAGCUUAACAGUCAUCAAACUUUGGCCCCAUCUGCCUGCCUCCUUUGUUUUAUUUCUCCAUUGAAUUGGAACUUAGACAAGAAUGAGGACAGCUGUUUAUUGGGUCCUCUGAAAGACCCCCAACAGGAUCACAUUUAAAUUGAAUAGGAAGGCAUGAGACAAUGAAUGGCAGGGGUCUUAGUGUCCCAAGAGCAGAAGGUUCAUGCUGAGAAAUUGGGAGAAUCAAAACAAAAGUCAGUGUCCUUUGGGAUGGUCAUGGGUGUGACUUCCUAAAUUUUAGAGUCCUCAGGCUAAGUUAAUCCCCAGCCUAGCAGCCAGGGGAUGCAAAUGUUGGAACUCAGAAAGUGUCAUGGCAUCUAUUUCUAUUUAUAGAGGACCUGUUAUGAGCUCAGAUCCCCAGCAGUGAUUCAUUUCAACGUGUAUUUGUGUGUGGAACCCAAAGGUGUGGCAUGAAGUACAAAGAUAGCACUCACAAUAGAGUACUCAGAUUAGAGAGGCAGAUACAGUUAGUGAGCUGUAAGACCACACAAACAGAACAGACAUUCUCAGGCCAAGGGACAAUUAUGGGCAGAUAACUGUCAAGCAUUGCAUGGACUAAGCUAUCUAACCCAAUUGUUUAAGAUGACUUGUAAACUAAACUGGGAGUGAACUUACCAGCAAGGACUGGGAGUACGGGCCUUGAAACAAGGAAAGGACAUCACAGGGCAGAUGGUUGUGGCAGGAUGAGGACACAGAAAGGGACCAGCAGAACUUGGUCAAUGCAAAGUGGAAGAGCAAUCCAGAACAGAUGUUCUUCUCUCUGCCACACCUGGCUAAAUAUUUAUAUGAGUGCUGAUCAGAAAUAAAUGUUAGACUGCAUUGCAGGCUUUUGGUAGUUUGAAUAACUUUGCUUAAGUCACUUGUUUAGUGAAAUAGAUUUAUAUGCACUUUACCCCACAAUGUAGUUUUAGGUGAUUCUUAAAUAAACCUAUGUUGUCAUUACAAUAUCUGUGUCAAAGGAUCCACACAGGUAUGUGUGUCUAGAACUGUGUAAGCUGUGUAGACCUUACUUUAUUUCAGUCAGGUAACUGGUAGACAGUGAAGGCAAAAUCAGCUAAGCAGAUCAUGUUUAUGGAUACCUUUUAAAGCUGUCUUAGUUUAUGAGUCCUAUUUCUAAGCAAAUAAAUUAAAGUUCUUAUCAUAGAAGAUGUGUUUAGUCAAAUGUUCAGAUAUCACUGAAAAUAGUAGCAGCAGUGGAGCUGAUGGAGUACUGGAAAGAGACAUAAAUAUAGUUAAUUAGAAUAAAUAAUUCUUCUUAAUUUCCUUCCUUCUAUCCUUCCUUUCUUCCUUCCUCUCCUCCCCCUAUUUCCUUACUUCCUUCCCACCAUGGCAAGACAUUGCAGGUUGGGUUCCCUGGGAAGCUGACACUGAAAAGCAGCUUAACAUGCAGGAUGUUUACUGAAGAGUUCUCUUGGGAUGAACACCUGGGAAAGGAGAGGAAGGAAGAAGGACUGGGCAGGGGGAGAAGCUGAGCUGGGAUGCAAGCCUGACAGCCUCAUCCAACCCCAUGAGGAGCUCUGGAGCUAGAAGGGAUCUUCAGUAUUGUCCUGAUCUAGACCAAGACGGCCAGGAGUUUUUGUAAUUGCACACUGAUCCAUCAUUGGAUGUGGGGUUCCUAGAAGGGUCUAUGAUCUUGAUUGAAGGGGCAUCUCUGCAGUUGAGACAUCCCUGAAGGGACAGAGAGCUGCAGACAUCUGUCCUCAACACUCUCAGGCUGGAACAGCAAUUGAAGGGGCAUCUGGGCAGCAUAUCACACAGUGUCCACCACAUAUGUCCUCUGUAGGAUAUUUGAAGGGGACUAAUCUAACAUUGGUAUCUAAGAAAGGUAUGAAGGAGAAGAAGGAGAAAGUACUGGAAUCAAGGAGGUUAACCAUUGGGCCACUGCAAGAGUCUAGGAAUGAUGUGGUAAGGGUGAGAAUGGAGAAGGAGGGAAAAUCAAGAGAUGGAUGCAAAUCCACUGCAAAUUGGCAAUCAAGAGAACUAAUGUCUCUGCAGAAUGAAUGUAGACAACAAGGUGACCAAAAACUAGACCUUCUACUUGUGUCUUCAGUGCACGCUUGAGUCUAAUUUUCUUGAUGGGAAAGUUUUCCCUGAACCGACACAACCAGCAGGUGCAAUACACGGAAUAUAUUUCCUUUUAAUCCCUUGUUUUCCUCAGUCAGCUCUCAAGGCAGCUUUGUAUAAUUAUAGAAUGGAAGAAUUGAUUUCAAAUUUUGGCUCUGAUGUGUCUUUUAUGUUUGAUCCUGGUCAAGGGUUUUAAGCUUUCUGAACCCAAGCUUCCUUGUUCAUAAAAUGGUAACAAUGCUAUCUACCCUUCUCAAGGUGGUUAAAAGUAUGAAAAGGAGAUAACAUAUAUGUGAAAAGCAUUUAACACAGUGCCUAGGGCAUAGUAGUUCUUAAACAAAAUCAGUUUUCUUCUCAUGAAAACGGAGACUAAAUCGAACAUUCUAGACUGCUUCAUUGGACCAAGUUUUGAAAGACAAUCUUGUGGGAGAAUAGUCUUUGCCCAGCUUUUAUGUGCAGAGCAAUAAUAUAAAAAAAAACUCCUGGUUUUGAAGUGAAAUAAAUGCAUGAAACAUUCAUCUUUCAGCUCAGACCCAGAAUGUUGAAAUCUGCCUGGAGCAAAAUUUCAUGGCUGAGCAACAGCCCCAGAAAAUAACAUUCUAAGUUUAAAGUUCUGCACCAACCUUCACAUUCCAGACUUAUUUAAAGGAACAUUUUAAGUCUACCAUGAAGUGGCAAUUGAGUUGAUGAAGUUUUUGCUGAAGGAGAAAAGAAGUCAGGUAGCAAGAUUUGUAUUGUUUGGUUUUAGUAGCUUCCUAUCUGGUGAAAAUUAGAAAUGAUCUUUAAGAGAGAAUGUAAUAGGAAUGUUUUGGGUGGACCUCAUGCUGCAGCAGUGUCCUGAGGCCCCCACCAUGUGGAGGCCCCCUGAACAUAUAGAUGUUGCACAUAGAGCAGGGGUCCUCUCCUGAGAGAUGUGCAGUCUAGUGGGGAGACCUCCAUGAAAAUGUACCUUUCUCUAAAUACCAAACAGAAAGGGCUUUGGUCUGACCCAGUUGUCCAUUUGACACCCAAAGCAGAAAGUCUGGGGCCUAUGAGUUUUUCAUGGGCUUAAACACAAAUGUCUGAAUCUGAGAAAAGAGCAGCUCCACAGGGCAGAAAGAAAACUUCAAAAUCAGAAAUGAAUAAACGUGAAGUUAAAUGUUUGUAAAAUUUUACUUUAUGACAGCUAGCCAACCAUAACUCAACAUACAGACCUACAUAUAUGCAUUUAUAUAAAAUAUUUACUUGUAUAUACGUGUGUGUGUAUAUAUAUAUAUAUAUAUAAAAUAUAUAUAAUAUAUCU
rnacentral:lncRNA from 1 species